UGUUUCAAAUCUUUUUAAGUACCAAACACAAUAAUAUUGUUGAAAUACAUUUGCCAUGUUUAUGAAAUUCUUAAUGUAAUAUUAUUUGUAAUGGUAAUAUUAGUAAUAGUUUGAUAUAUUAAUAAUUCAGUUGAUCUAAGCAUGCAUUCUUUCAUGAUGAUGAUUAUGGUCAAAAUAUGCCAAAUGUGUCUGUAAAUAUCAUGCAUAAUAUAAUCACUUAGCAAAUAAAUUGCUGAAAGAGAAGGAAAAACGUAGAGUUGGUUCUAAAGCUGUGGCAAUGUUGCUUUUAGUCAUAUGUUCUCAUUUACUCCAUUCCAGAAUGUUUAUGUGCUAUUGCAUAGUCCCUGGCGUGCCAUCUGUUCCUGCAGUCAAGACCAGUAAACUCAGGUAUGAGCCUUGCAAGAAGACAUACAUAUUUUGCUGAUUGCCAAGGGGAUAAUGCAUUGGGUAUAAGAAGAAGGAAAGUAGAGGAACCAAUUAAGAAAUAUUUACUACAAUUAAGAAGAGAUGAUAAUAACUUCGACCAAGGUGGAGGCUAUGAAGAUGGAGCAAUGCGAAUACAUGGAGACAUGUUUUUGAUGUAGACUCAGCAAGAAAUUCUAAUAUAUUAGAUUUUAUGUUUUGGGAGAAAAAGAGACAUCUCCAAGAUUAUGGCUUGAAUAGAUUGGGACUAAUAGUGAAACUUGAGAGUGAUCACAUAUGGAGAUGAAAGAUUGAAAGACCUCUCGCUGAACAUAAUAUAGAAGGUCUAAAAUACUCUCAAGUCCCCUCCAUCUCAAAAUGACAGCAGUAACAGUGAAAACUAAACAUAGCUGUACCAAGGGCCUGUGUAUCUUACUUCGCCCUCCUUGUGAGUUGCCACUUCCUGUUCAUCCUCCUAUCAACGUGAUAUAAACACCAAAAUAGACCAAAGUAAUUAUCUGGGGAAUGUCCAGAGGGUGUUUACCUUCAGAAAAUUAACAGCUUUGAGACUAAAUCGAUGACCCAGCAAGAAGGUUCUCAUCAGUGGCUGACCAGAUGCCAGAAACAUGCCAUUGGAGUGCCCAGCCUUCAGAACAGAAACAUGGCUGUAUAAGUAGAAAACUUUGAAGAAUUUGCUGUAAGUAACAAAUAUGUUUAGAAAGGUUACAGACUACAAUAUCUAAUUUAGAAGUCCUUUGUAUUUCUACAUAUUAGUAAUAAAUAAUUGGAAUUUAAAAUUUAUAAAAAGUACUAUUAUAAUAGUACUAUCUAAAAUGAA
rnacentral:lncRNA from 1 species